UUAAGUGAAUAAGGGCGCACGGUGGAUGCCUUGGCACUAGGAGCCGAUGAAGGACGGGACUAACACCGAUAUGCUUUGGGGAGCUGUACGUAAGCUAUGAUCCAGAGAUUUCCGAAUGGGGGAACCCAACAUCUUUAAUAGGAUGUUACGAUUGUGUGAAUACAUAGCACAUUCGAGGUAGACGCAGAGAACUGAAACAUCUAAGUACCUGCAGGAAGAGAAAGAAAAUUCGAUUCCCUGAGUAGCGGCGAGCGAAACGGGAAAAGCCCAAACCAGCAAGCUUGCUUGUUGGGGUUGUAGGACUCCAAUAUGGUAGUUCUUUCAGAUAGUCGAAUGACUUGGAAAAGUCAGUCAAAGAGGGUAAAAACCCCGUAGACGAAAUGUGGAAGACACCUAGGAGGAUCCUGAGUACGGCGGAACACGAGAAAUUCCGUCGGAAUCCGGGAGGACCAUCUCCCAAGGCUAAAUACUCCCUAGUGACCGAUAGUGAACCAGUACCGUGAGGGAAAGGUGAAAAGCACCCCGGAAGGGGAGUGAAAUAGAACCUGAAACCGUGUGCCUACAACAAGUCAAAGCCCGUUAAUGGGUGAUGGCGUGCCUUUUGUAGAAUGAACCGGCGAGUUACGAUUGCAUGCGAGGUUAAGUUGAAGAGACGGAGCCGCAGCGAAAGCGAGUCUGAAUAGGGCGUUUGAGUAUGUAGUCGUAGACCCGAAACCAUGUGAUCUACCCAUGUCCAGGUUGAAGGUGCGGUAAAACGCACUGGAGGACCGAACCCACGUACGUUGAAAAGUGCGGGGAUGAGGUGUGGGUAGCGGAGAAAUUCCAAACGAACUUGGAGAUAGCUGGUUCUCUCCGAAAUAGCUUUAGGGCUAGCCUCGGAAUUGAGAAUGAUGGAGGUAGAGCACUGUUUGGACUAGGGGCCCAUCUCGGGUUACCGAAUUCAGAUAAACUCCGAAUGCCAUUCAUUCAUAUCCGGGAGUCAGACUGUGAGUGAUAAGAUCCAUAGUCGAAAGGGAAACAGCCCAGACCACCAGCUAAGGUCCCAAAAUAUAUGUUAAGUGGAAAAGGAUGUGGGGUUGCACAGACAACUAGGAUGUUAGCUUAGAAGCAGCUAUUCAUUCAAAGAGUGCGUAAUAGCUCACUAGUCGAGUGACCCUGCGCCGAAAAUGUACCGGGGCUAAACAUAUUACCGAAGCUGUGGAGUACACCUUUAGGUGUAUUGGUAGGAGAGCGUUCUAAGGGCGUCGAAGGCAGAUCGUGAGGACUGCUGGAGCGCUUAGAAGUGAGAAUGCCGGUAUGAGUAGCGAAAGACAGGUGAGAAUCCUGUCCACCGAAUGACUAAGGUUUCCUGGGGAAGGCUCGUCCGCCCAGGGUUAGUCGGGACCUAAGCCGAGGCCGACAGGCGUAGGCGAUGGAUAACAGGUUGAUAUUCCUGUACCCGUUGUUUUUGUUUGAGCAAUGGAGGGACGCAGGAGGCUAAGGAAUGCAGACGAUCGGAAAUGUCUGUCCAAGCAGUAAGUCUGAAGAGGAGUCAAAUGCUUCUUUUCUUAAGGACAAGCUGUGAUGGGGAGGGAAAUAAUAGUACCGAAGUUCCUGAUGUCACACUGCCGAGAAAAGCUUCUAGUGAGAAAACAGCGGCCCGUACCGCAAACCGACACAGGUAGUCGAGGAGAGAAUCCUAAGGUGAGCGAGAGAACUCUCGUUAAGGAACUCGGCAAAAUGACCCCGUAACUUCGGGAGAAGGGGUGCUGAUCAUACGAUCAGCCGCAGUGAAUAGGCCCAAGCGACUGUUUAUCAAAAACACAGGUCUCUGCAAAAUCGUAAGAUGAAGUAUAGGGGCUGACGCCUGCCCGGUGCUGGAAGGUUAAGAGGAGUGCUUAGCGCAAGCGAAGGUACGAAUUGAAGCCCCAGUAAACGGCGGCCGUAACUAUAACGGUCCUAAGGUAGCGAAAUUCCUUGUCGGGUAAGUUCCGACCCGCACGAAAGGCGUAACGAUUUGGGCACUGUCUCAACGAGAGACUCGGUGAAAUUUUAGUACCUGUGAAGAUGCAGGUUACCCGCGACAGGACGGAAAGACCCCAUGGAGCUUUACUGUAGUUUGAUAUUGAGUGUCUGUACCGCAUGUACAGGAUAGGUAGGAGCCGUAGAAAUCGGAACGCUAGUUUCGAUGGAGGCGCUGGUGGGAUACUACCCCUGCGUUAUGGCCACUCUAACCCGCACCACUAAUCGUGGUGGGAGACAGUGUCAGAUGGGCAGUUUGACUGGGGCGGUCGCCUCCUAAAAGGUAACGGAGGCGCCCAAAGGUUCCCUCAGAAUGGUUGGAAAUCAUUCGAAGAGUGUAAAGGCAGAAGGGAGCUUGACUGCGAGACCAACAAGUCGAGCAGGGACGAAAGUCGGGCUUAGUGAUCCGGUGGUUCCGCAUGGAAGGGCCAUCGCUCAACGGAUAAAAGCUACCCUGGGGAUAACAGGCUUAUCUCCCCCAAGAGUCCACAUCGACGGGGAGGUUUGGCACCUCGAUGUCGGCUCAUCGCAUCCUGGGG
rnacentral:rRNA from 1 species